GUGGCUGUAGCUCAGUGAUAGAGCACUUGCCCAGCAUGUGAGAGGCCCUGGGUUCAAUCCUCAGCACCAUA
rnacentral:tRNA from 1 species